rnacentral:rRNA from 1 species
UACAGGGGGAGCAAGCGUUGUUCGGAUUUACUGGGCGUAAAGGGCGCGUAGGCGGUCGUGACAAGUCACUUGUGAAAUCUCCGGGCUUAACUCGGAACGGUCAAGUGAUACUGUCGGACUAGAGUACAGAAGGGGCAACUGGAAUUCUCGGUGUAGCGGUGAAAUGCGUAGAUAUCGAGAGGAACACCUGCGGCGAAGGCGGGUUGC